CAAUGUUGCAGAGACUCAGAUGUUGUCAUUUUCCUUUAAAAAUUACUGGGUAAAGAUUUUUCUUAUUUCCCUUUGAAAUUACUCAACAGGUUGCCUCUAAGCUAAUGUCUUUUCCACACACAUUUAAAGAUCCUGCAUAAAUGAACAGAUUGGGAGUUCAGUCGAACUCCUGGUGGCUGUCAGAUCACAAGUGAUCAGGCCUGCACCUGCUUCCCUCUGGCUGCAUCUAAACGACGCCAAUUAUACUAGAGAAAGCAAUCAGGUGAACAUCUAGUUCAUCUAGCUUGACAGGUGUUUCACAUUGUGGGAGUAACACUGUGCGUUUAUGGAAAUAUUUGAUACCUGUGCACUCAAUGUGGCAGCCACUAGCUAUAGGUGGCUCUUGAGCACUUGAAAUGUGGCUAGUGCAACUGAGGGAUGGAAUUUUUUUAUUUCACUUUUAAAUUUAAGUGGCCAUACCUAGCCACUGGCUCCAUAUUGGAUGGUAUAUGAUGGCAUUGCAUUAACAGGGUGAUACCAUGAAGCAAGCAUAAGUUUAAACAGUUUUCAUGAUAUUCUAAUAUAUAAAUAUGUAAAUUGGAAAACAUCAGGAUUUUUUACUCACUAAAGGCUAAUUAUUACUAACAUUUGGUGCAUAGUCUUCCAGACUCUUUUUGUUCUCAGGCAUAUAAACACACUCAACCAUAGGAAGAUUAAAAAAUAUAUAAAAUAGAAUCACAGUAUACAUACUAAUCUAUAGCUUACUUUUCUCUCAACAAUACAUUGUGACCAACCAUCUUUAUCAGUACAGAGACGUAUUUACAGCUACGAGACAAUACAUUCUCUUCUUUGCUAAGCCUAUCUCAUUUCUGUCAUUUCUAGCCAAGAAGUCCUGAUGAACACAAGGGACCAGAGUCACAGUUAUGAUGUUGCUUGAAUUAAAAGCCUUAUCUCAGGAUGAAGGUGGAGAAGUAAUAGGUGGAAACUCAAAGAAAGGAGACCUUUGGAUGCCAGGUGGAGGAAGUUAAAUUUCUUUAUAUACUCCAAAGGACUUUGAGCAAGGUAGUGGCAUGGUCAAAUCUGUCAUUGAAGAGGUUGACCCUGGUGGUAAUCUAUACGAGACUAGAGCAGGAGAUGGUAGGCAGAAGUCAGAUUUGGUACAAAGGUUUGUUUACACAUCAGUUACCAACUCAGACUACCUCUAACACUGCUGUGCUAUUGCAUUUCCAGAGCAAGCUCACAACAUUUUAUCUAGCUUGCUCUCUCACAAGAAAGCAGAAGUGAAACACCCUGCUUUACAACAGUUUAAACUAUUAUUGUGAAAAUAUAAAAUGAUUCAUUAACUAAACAUGUACUGAGCACCUACUAUAUGCCAGGCAGUAGAGAAAUAGCAGUGCCCCAAAAUGAAGUCUCUGCCUACAUGGGAGAGGUUCUAAAAGGAAGAAAUUUGGGGGCUAUGGGAUUAAAAUUAAAUAAGUUUAAUUUUGAACAUAUACAUUUUGAUAUGCCUGUUCGACAUCCAAGCGAGGUAGGAAGGAGGCAGCUGAAAUAUGAGUUGAAGACAGUUUUUGGUUAGGAUAUAUUUGGGGGGUCAUCAGAGUAUGUGAUCAGCUAGUUAGUGAACAUAUAGAAUGAAGAGAAGACCAGGAGAUGAGACUAAAAAAGGUGAUGACAAGAAUAGAGCUGGAGAGAAAGCAACCAUGAGCCAUGGUUCUAGGACCAGAAUCUCCAAAGAAUAGGGGAGGUGCUGGGGUCUAGAACUAUGUAUAACUGCACCAAGGAGGCAGGGUUAGUAGCAUUGACCUGACCUAGGUUAGAUAGUAUGAGUUUCCAGGCAGAUUGAUUUUAAGGAGGCGAGCAGGACAUGAGUCUGGAAGAAGCAAGGAGGAGCAAAAACAACACUUAGCCUGUCACUAAGUCCAGUAGCACAAGAGGUGUGGAAAAUAAGACAUGGCCACUUAGGAGGGCUCUAGGGAAGCAAUAGAAUUAAGGAGAGCCAGAUUUCCAGUAGGAAAGGGAAGGUACUAUUCAGACAAGAUUGAAAAUAUAAUGGACUUUGCUGAUUGCAAGUGUGUUCUGGAGUUCACAGAGCAACUCAAACUUUGAAUGUGCAUAAGAAGGUGCUCUUUGAAAAGAUGGGGGAUGGAAUCAGAGAUGCACAGAGCUGUGUGGGCACAAGAGACCACAGGGUGGGAGAGGACCUGGAGUCUUUAUUUUCUAAUUGUGGUUAAUACAGAUAGGAACAAAGCGCAUGACAGAAUUAGUCCCAAUGUUCUUUGAGGCCGAAUGGUGGGGCUGUAUUGAGAAGGGAGGAGGAGCCAGCUCUUCUGCAUUAUGCUCUUCCAUGUUGUGCUAUAAAUUGGGGGAAAAAUUAAGCCUUUGGUACUAAUGUAGAAAUGCAAUCAUUUAAAAAACACUUUUAUUGUGUAACGUGUUUCCUACUUUGUGGCAAUCUAGCACUAGGCAGCAUGGAUUUAACUCUUACUGCAAAAAAUAUCAGUUGAACCCCUACUAUUGUACUGGGUAUGGACAACAAUGUAAAGAAAGGAAAGCAGUCAUCUCCAGAAAACACAAGCCCUCAAAUAGAGCUGUGCCUACUGUCCAGCAAGGGAUAAGAAGAGACGUGCCAGAUGCAAACCCUUUUCUUGCUCUUUGGGAUUCUAGGAGUUGCAUCUUCUCUGUCUGCAGAGCAAAGGUCCUGACAUGAGAAAACUCUGGUUUCAAAGUAUCUUCUCCAGAAGAGAGGACAAGAGGCAAUCUACCAUGAGAUACUGCUAGACAUUUGCUCACUGAUGGUUUGAUUUUGUAGGAAGCCAAAUGGCUUCAGUCAGGAUGGGUAUCUCCUGCCACAGGAAGAGUGACAUAUUUUGGCCAGUGGAGAUGUGUGCUGAUAAGGCUACAAGCAGAGCCAUUUGAGAGUUCAUACCUGCUCUUGCACGUCUGCCAGGAUAACAUGCCUAGGUUAGCCAGCUGGAAGCAUGUGGAAGAUUCAGAGAAGAGAGCUGAGUCACGCAGGUGAUACUAAAAUAACUCCCAGAUAUGCGCACCACAGACAAUAGCCAGUCAACUCUGAGACCUAGUUGUGUCCCCAGGCAAGACCAGAAGAAUGGCCCAGUACAGUCUAAACAAUCAGCUUACAAACUGAUAAGCUGAAUAAAUGCCUACUGUUAUAUGUCACUGAGUUUUGGAUUGGUUUGUUACACAGAGUUAUUACAAUGAUGGACACCAGAUACAGCUACUUUCUUUUGCCUUUGAGGAAUACUAUAAUUCUGUGAUUAAGGCACCAGAUGCUAGAAGCAAAAAGAUUGGGUUCGCAUCUUGCCUCUGCCACUCACUAACUAUAGAGAAUCAUCACUUAAAUUCUUUAUACCUCAGAUCCUUCAUCUGUAAAAGGGAAACACUAGUAUCUACCGACUGGGGGCUAAUAUGAAAAUUAAAUAAGCUAAUAUCUGAAGAGCUCAGAACUAUCUCUGGCAUAUAGUAUGCACUAUAAAUAUGCUGUUAUCAUUUGCUAUCAUGUUGAUCAGCAUUGGUGAAAGGUCAAAGUGGUUUGAGUCUGUAUGUCUCACAGUCUAUCUCUUUCCUCUUAAUUAGGGAAUGUUAAUGGGAUUUUUCUAAGGAGUUCUGAUUUUAUUUCAAGUGCUAUUACUGCUUACGGUGGGCAGGAAGUUUUUUAAGUUGGCCUCAGUGUCUUCUCUCUUCCUAUGAGCAAAUCUGUGCCAUAUCUGGAGAUAUUUACUGAGACUUUUGGCAUUUGAGUAUUAUUUUUCUCUAGUUUUCAGUGUUUAUACAAAUCCUUAUUUUU